rnacentral:lncRNA from 1 species
GUGCGCAUUUGCCACUUCUGGCCCCGGCCCUGCAUGAGGCAAGCAGUGGUUCCCAGCGGGCACUCUGGGUCUUGGUCUCCCCCGGGGCUGCGGCCUGGGGCGCCCUGGGCUCUGCGCUGGGGUCCCCCUAAUUUAUAAUUAUUUAUUAAAUAGUGAAAUCAGUUGGAGAGAUAAAAGGCACAUAAUCAUACGGACAGCCACCUAGCGAUUAUGAGUUUGCUGCUCACCUAUCUCCAUUCUGUAGCCAAGAGAUUAUACAUAAGUUGCCCACAAGAUAAGUAUAAAGAGAGAGAUGAUGCUUCCUUGAUCCCUAAUUUAUAAUCCUAGUGACAUCACUCAUUCUGGGUGUCCCCAAUUGGACAAUUUGUCUUUACUCUGGGUCACAAGCAUGCCAGAAGUCAAGUGGGAGAAGAGGCAAGUGUCUUCUAAAAGCCAAGUAACUAGGAGGCCUCUGGUAUCAUCCCAUAAUGCUCAUGAGUACCCAGCCAAAGGGUAUUAUUUCCCUUCAGUCCUUCAUUUCUAUUCAUGC